CCCGUCAGUGUGGGUCUGGCUAUCGGAAGGGAAGGACGCAUCGUGCGUUCGCGUGGAAUAUCGUUAAAGUACUAGAAAAGGAAACUGGGUGGUAGAUUGUACAUAUGUAAUAUUUUUUAGUUCGUGCCUAACGUUGUAGCGUUGGUAUAGAAUCUAAAAAAAAAAAAAAAAAAAGGAAGUGACGCACAAAAAAGUACAAAAGGAAGAAGGGAAUACCGCAUUCUUGGUGCUUAUGUUGAUCUCCAGUGCAUUAGCAGACAAGGAUGGCGAUAUACUAAACCGACCUAGGCCUACUAGCUAGCCCUCCGUUCUUUUGUGUUCCGUCAAUUUGAACAAAAGUGGACAGGAGGCAGCCUAGGAACACUCGCACAGGCCUAUAACUCCGCACUCCAUUAGGCCUAGAAAUCUGGAUCAUGGACUGGCCGAUGACUAUUUGAUACGUUGGCUGGAGUAACUUCAGAGGCUUAGCUCAAGCUCCAGCAACAAUGGGUAAGU